rnacentral:misc_RNA from 1 species
GAUGAAGAACGCAGCGAAAUGCGAUAAGUAAUGUGAAUUGCAGAAUUCAGUGAAUCAUCGAAUCUUUGAUCGCACAUUGCGCCCGUCAGUAUUCUGGCGGGCAUGCCUGUUCGAGCGUCAUUACGCCCCUCAAGUCCCCUGUGGACUUGGUGUUGGGGAUCGGCGAGGCUGGUUUUCCAGCACAGCCGUCCCUUAAAUUAAUUGGCGGUCUCGCCGUGGCCCUCCUCUGCGCAGUAGUAAAACACUCGCAACAGGAGCCCGGCGCGGUCCACUGCCGUAAAACCCCCCAACUUUUUAUAGUUGACCUCGAAUCAGGUAGGACUACCCGCUGAACUUAAGCAUAUCAAUAAGCGGAGGA